GACACUCAGUGUUCACAGAUCCCACAAGCAUAAAUCUGUUAAUUUAGAAUGAAUUCAUCCUGCUGUACGGGUUCGGAUCGCUUGGUUCACAAUCACACAAAGAUAGUGGAUGUAUUAACUUUCUGUGAGGUUAUUUACCCCACAGCAUGCUGCAUGUUUCACAGCAUCCAAUGGAGAACAACAAAACAUUUCUCAUGGAGUUUGAUGGAAUGCAAAAUCUGAAAUUUGCAGCAAACUGAAGAAGAAGAACAAGAAGAAGAAGAGAGGGAGCUGAUAGAGUCUGCCCCGCAUCGCUUCAUAGCCACAGGCAGUUGCACAGCACAGGAGAAAUGUGCUUACAUCAUCACAUGCUGUCCCGGCGUCCUGCAGAGGGCACUGCGAACAGAUGAAACGCAGAGCGAAGGAGGCAGCCAGCCGGCCAGGAGGAGCUCACACAGGCACUCCCACGCAGCUUGGAUAUCUGACAUUCUUGGCAGCCUCUCUGAGAGGAUCACGCAGCAGAUGCCCCGGCUGGAGAGGACCGGUGUGAACUCAGUGGCACUGCAUCUCCUCCUGGUUCCUCUUCAUCGCCGCUGCAGCAGCAUCUCUGCAUCUGAGGCCAGCGAGUGCAGAGGAACAGAGCCUUCAUGGCUUCCAGAGGCUAUUAAACUCACAGUUAUGCAGAAACGGCACAUCGCCUGCCCUUGAGUAAUCCCUGUUUGACAUCGCUAACCAAGAUCUCUGCAGACAAAAACAAGCUAUUACUGUAUGUCAAAAGAGUUCAAAGAUACAUCCACAUUGAAACUGGAGAGGGGACUGCAGGGUCUGACAGCCAUCUGCACUGAUAAGGCAGCAAAAAGCAUGAAGCAUUCAGAGAAAAGAAGUUUCUUCUUAGCGUCAGCUCUGAUGAAUAUAUUUAACAUCCACUUCUCUUGUUGUGUUCAAGAACUAUGAAGAGCUAGAGAGAAGAAAGUGGGAAAAGAAUGGAAAAUACAUGGGAGGAGUAAAGGAUAGACUAAAGUAAAAAAAAAACAGAUUGUUCCUCAGUGGGAAAAGCUGGCAAGGAGUUCACACUGGGUAAACAUUUUCAUCGCAAAGCCUGUGGAGCGAUUGAUACCCUGGACAAAUCAAACUGUUUCACAGUUUGCCUGCAUAAAACACAAAUACCAUCAGCUUCAAAAACCCUGGUCUUCCUGGAGCAUAUGGGCUGGGCUCUGCUCCUCUGGGUUUACAGAAUCGAAUCGAUCAGAAAAACAUAAUUUCAAAGGAUUCCAAAAACCAUGAGGUCUUUCUCUCUCUCAGACAUUAAGAAAACAGACUUGAGCAUAGACAGCCCUGCAGACACUUGUGGCUGUGGAGUCCCCAAAGGCCCGGAUGGUCUCGUCUUUUUACUAUCAAAACUAGCAGCACAAACAGUGCAUCAGUCUAUUUCUAUCAGAAAGACGCAGAGACUAAAGGAAACGGAGUGAAAAUGGUGCAGGACUUCAUCAGACAGAGACAGUGAUUGGAGAAUAGAUGAGAAAGAAUGAAGGCUUUUGACUCUGAACACGGACGAUGGAUAACAUGUGUGCAUCGGUUCUGCUGACCAAGCCUGCAGCAGCUCACUGCUGCGAAGCUGCAACAUGUGUUUAGGCUAUCAGAGCCAUUAAAGUCCCAUUACAUAGUGCAACAACAGGGAUCAUAAGUCUUUCAGACAUUCUUUGAACUAUUUAUCAUGUAAAUUUGCCGUGGAAGAUGCAUUUACAUGUGUAUAGAGAUGCACAAUGACUUAAUCUCUGUUUUUAUUGAAUGUGCAGUGCAGAACUUUUGACAUUAAUGUUGAAAUGCUUCACUUGGAGGGAUAAAGUGAAUUACCUUUCUCCGAAACACGGAUGCCUCACAUUUACAUGAAAAAAAAGAAGAAGAAGAAGAGGUCAUUUGUUGCUCAUACCUUUGGUAAACCGGUGAAGUCAGUAGUUCAGCGCUGUAUUCCUUACAGUGGAGACAAAUGGUGCUCUGACCUGUGGGGAAGGAAUGCCAACUCUCAUCACAGCUGCAAACUGAGGCCGAGAGCCUGCGCUGACCGUGGGGUCAAAGGUCAGAGAAGAUGUGACUCGAUCCCACACAAUCAAUACACACGAGGUCCUAGCCUUUGGCGAGUCUGCUCUAAACGGAGCAGAGCGACUGGAAAAAACAGUGAAGAGAAAACCUCCAAGAGACGGGAAGCCACGAGAGAAUAGAAAAUGUGUUUUACAGAAUCU